GAGCUGUGAUGAUAAUUGGCUUAAGUGAAGGUUGGGUCCUUCGCAUUCAUCUGAGUUUCUGAUGAUAUCGCCGCACCUGAGCUC
rfam:Brassica oleracea var. oleracea cultivar TO1000 chromosome C5, whole genome shotgun sequence